AAGAAUGAAGUAUAAUUUUUAUAUCUCAGUUACAUUGAGAAGAUCCAAUAUUUCUGGCGUUCUUA
rnacentral:tRNA from 1 species